rnacentral:rRNA from 1 species
UCUGGUUGAUCCUGCCAGUGCGUAUACGCUCUUUUUAAAGACUAAGCCAUGCACGUGCCUAGUACAUACAUUUUAAAUGUGAGACUGCGGACGGCUCAGUAUAUCAGUUAUAAUCUGCUCGAUUGUUUAGGUUAGUGGAUAACCGUGGGAAAUCUAGAGCUAAUACAUGCAAAUUUGGGUAUGCAGUAGCAAUAUUGUAUAUCUGGCAUUUAUUAGAAGGAUACCAACCGUGUGAGCAAUCACACGAGGUGAAUCUAGAUAACUGUGCAGAUCGUAUGGCCUUGAGCUGACGACAUUUCGAUUGAAUUUCUGCCCUAUCAACUCGAAGCGAGUGUAGUGUACUCGCUUGGUGUUUACGGGUAACGGGGGAUCAGGGUUCGAUUCCGGAGAGGGAGCCUGAGAAACGGCUACCACAUCCAAGGAAGGCAGCAGGCGCGCAAAUUACCCAAUCCAGACAAUGGGAGGUGGUGACGAAAAGUACUAGGUGGCGAUUAUAUCGUCAGCCUGGAAUGAAUACAAUUUAAGCAAUUGAAUUGAGUAACGACUGGAGGGCAAGUCUGGUGCCAGCAGCCGCGGUAAUUCCAGCUCCAGUAGCGUAUCUCAAAGUUGCUGCGCUUAAAACGCUCGUAGUUGGAUCACACACUGCGCAUUGGUGUGUCAAAGUGUUUGAAUUGUGGAGUGGGUUGCUACCUACACACUUUUGAAUUUCUGCGACGAAUAGCCGAUGUGUAGUAAUUGCGCGUGAGGAUGAUUGAUGACCUUUAGUGUGUCGACAGUCGUGUCUCACGGGGUGUGCCUUGAGUAAAUCAGAGUGCUUAAAGCAGGCUUACGCUUGAAUGUUAACAGCAUGGAACGAACAAUCGUGUAGGGAGUGCGUUGGUUAAGGUAUAACUAUUGUUAUGCUGCAACGUACGACACCGACCACCAAUUACGGAUGUUGGUUCCGUAUUGGGGUACUGAUUAAGAGGAGCGGUUGGGGGCACUGGUAUUUGGCAGCGAGAGGUGAAAUUCUUGGACCUGCCAAGGACUAACAAAUGCGAAGGCAUCUGUCCAGACCGUAUCCAUUAAUCAAGAACGAUAGUGAGAGGUUCGAAGACGAUCAGAUACCGUCCUAGUUCUCACAGUAAACGAUGCCGACCCGGGAUCAGUUUGGAGCAUUGUUCCACGCUCGAGGUUGGUCCCCCUGGGAAACCUAAAGUCUUUCGGUUGCGGGGGGAGUAUGGUCGCAAGGCUGAAACUUAAAGGAAUUGACGGAAGGGCACCACCAGGGGUGGAGCCUGCGGCUUAAUUUGACUCAACACGGGAAAACUUACCUGGUCCGGACAUCAGAAGGAUAAACAGACUAACAGAUCUUUUUUGAUUUGGUGAUUGGUGGUGCAUGGCCGUUCUUAGUUCGUGGAGCGAUCUGUCAGGUUAAUUCCGGUAACGAACGAGACCACAAUCUUCAUUUGACGAGUUAGAGAAGGGGAGAUCUUUAUCGUAAUUGGCAACAGUUACCUUAUCGAUUAAACCGAAGGCGGUGUUUUGUGUUUCGGUGUGAUUUGCUGCAAAGUGGCAACAUGGAGUAGUGAAUUAUGUUGAGAUGCGGUUCACUCCCUCUGACUUUGCAUUGUAGGGAAUUUUCUUUGCAGUGUAUCAUGGAGAGACAACGGAAUAUAUUGUAAAUCCGAGGAAGUGUGGCUAUAACAGGUCUGUGAUGCCCUUAGAUGUUCAGGGCUGCACGCGCGCUACAAUGACGAUGACAGCGAGUUUCUGAAUCGAAAGAUUUGGGUAACCUUGUAAUCAUCGUCGUGAUGGGGACUGAUGUUUGUAAAUACAUCACGAAAGAGGAAUCCCUAGUACCUGCGAUUCAUGAGAUCGCGGGGAUUUAGUCCCUGCCCUUUGUACACACCGCCCGUCGCUACUACCGAGUGAAUGGUGUCAUAAUGCCUUGGGAGCGGAUUUUGUACUGUAUUUCGGUACGGUGCGAAACUGCGAUCAGCGUAGAAUGGCGCAAUUUCGAGGAAGUAAAA